rnacentral:rRNA from 1 species
CUUAGUAACGGCGAGUGAAGCGGCAAAAGCUCAAAUUUGAAAUCUGGCACCUUCGGUGUCCGAGUUGUAAUUUGAAGAAGGUAACUUUGGAGUUGGCUCUUGUCUAUGUUCCUUGGAACAGGACGUCACAGAGGGUGAGAAUCCCGUGCGAUGAGAUGCCCAAUUCUAUGUAAAGUGCUUUCGAAGAGUCGAGUUGUUUGGGAAUGCAGCUCUAAGUGGGUGGUAAAUUCCAUCUAAAGCUAAAUAUUGGCGAGAGACCGAUAGCGAACAAGUACAGUGAUGGAAAGAUGAAAAGAACUUUGAAAAGAGAGUGAAAAAGUACGUGAAAUUGUUGAAAGGGAAGGGCUUGAGAUCAGACUUGGUAUUUUGCGAUCCUUUCCUUCUUGGUUGGGUUCCUCGCAGCUUACUGGGCCAGCAUCGGUUUGGAUGGUAGGAUAAUGACUAAGGAAUGUGGCUCUACUUCGGUGGAGUGUUAUAGCCUUGGUUGAUACUGCCUGUCUAGACCGAGGACUGCGUCUUUUGACUAGGAUGUUGGCAUAAUGAUCUUAAGCCACCCGUCUUGAA